GGGGCGGGAGGUGUCGGCUCCGCCCGCCUACUUAGGUGGGCGGAGACAGUCGCGUGAGUUCGGUGAGCCAGAUUCUCCCGCGCUAUUAACCAGCCCGCCCCCUUUUGCACAUGCGCGUACAUCAGUACUAGAUCCAUGGGUUGUUGAGAGGCUGUGGAGUUGCGCCUGCGCUAUAGACCUCCCUGCCGGAAGUGGGCGGAUCGUGUUCCAAAGCCUAAAGGGCGGAGGGAGAAAGCGCGGCAAAGAUCUGUGUUGCUGAAUGGAACGCUGAAUCCGGACACUGUCCCAGGUGUCCUGCUGUAGAACUACUGAGCCUAGAAAUGUAAAGACCAGAAUAUGGUCAGAGAGAACUUACUUUUCGAUUUUAAAAAGAAGACUUCAGGAGUCAAAGAGAUAUUUGAAUGCCUAUAUGCCCAGUUGGAGAACCAGUAUUCUGGCCAAAAACAAAAACAAAAAACCAGCGUAUGUUCUCAACCACAGAAGCGUUCGUCCCUAGUCAGGAAACCGUUAGGAAGAUACAUUAAAUAAGAGCCGGAAAAGAAAUCUGCAUCAAGGUAAGUGAUUUUGUGUCGUUAAAAUUGUAAAUGUUUUGAAGGUCCCUUGUGUCAGUUCAUCAACUUUAUUCCAUAACCAUUUGUGGAAAGCAUAUUAUGUUUCAUACGUGUGCACCUUACUGGAUACUAGAGAUUCAAAGAUGAAUGUAACAAUUCAACCCCUAUCCUUGAAGAGUUCACACUGUGGGGCUCAGGGAUAGGACUCCCCCUGGGCAAGGUCUUGAAAAUGGGUAUGAUGGUGCAAAGUGACUCUGAAGACUGUCUUGACCUCAAGAUGGCAGAUGGUGUCCUAUGAACAAAGUGGGGUAGCCUGGGGGGAGAGGAGAUUAGACGCCAGUGGUCAGGAACUCGUGUGUUUUCUUGAACUUCCUUUGAUACAGGGGAUGAGGCAGAAGGUGACUUGGACCACAGAGACCCGGUUAAACAGGGAGAAGCUGGAAAACUCUAAGAACGUCUCAAGCUGAGAGAGAGAUUGAGAGCAUGCAAGCAAGCGAGGAAGGGGCAGAGAGAGAGAGGGAGAUACAGAACCUGAAGCAGGCCCCAGGCUCCAAGCUGUCAGUGCAGACGACAUGGGGCUCAAACUCAAGAACUGUGAGAUCAUGACCUGAGCUGAAGUCAGAUGCUCAACCGACUGAGCCACCCAGGCGCCCCUGGACAGCUUUCACUCUCUGAAUCUCAGUUUCCUCAUCCAUAAAAUACACAAUAAAAACAUUGACCUCUCAGGAUUGUUAUGAGGAUUAAAUGAAAAUGUUUGUGAAAGUGCAUUGUAAACAGUUAACACCUGUCCACAUCGAAGGUCUGUGGAAAAUGUAUUUUUUUAAGUUUUAUUUUUUAAAAAUUGUUUCUUAAUUUUUAUUUAUGACAGAGACAGAGCAUGAGCAGGGCCGGGGGGGGGGGGGGCGCGGCAGAGAGAGGAAGACACAGAAUUGGAAGCAGGCUCCAGGCUCUGACCUUUCAGCACAGAGCCCGACGCGGGGCUUGAACUCACAGACCGCAAGAUCAUGACCUGAGCCGAAGUCGGACGCUCAACCGACUGAGCCACCCAGGCGCCCCAAGUUUUAUUUUUUUAAGUAAUCUUACAACCCAAAGUGGGACUCGAACCGAUGACCCUGAGAUCAAGAAUUGCAUGGUCUUCUGACUGAGCCAGCCAGGCGCUGCUGGAAAAUGUAUACAUGGUGAUGUUUGCCCUGUCGUCAACCCAGGUAGAGAGCUGGGAGGUGCUGAGCAGUUGGUAAAUUUUUUAGAGUGCUUUUUCUGGCAGGUGGCACUAUCUCCCCAUUUCAAAUAGCCCAAAAGCAGCUUUCAUGAAAACCCACUUAGAUUUUUUGUAAACCAUCAACACACUUUUCAAAGGUACUUCAAAAAGGCAGAAGGUUUGAACUCUUAGGGAGUAUGAACCACUUUGAAAGACACUUUGGUAUGAUCUGGUGAAACUGAAAGUAUGAGUAACCUUGCCUUAGGCGAAUAUAUUCUUUCUUUUUUUUUUAGUUAAAAAAUGUAUUGAAGUACAAUUGACAUACCGUGUUAUAUUACAGGUGUACAACAUAUCGAGUCAGUGCUUCUAUUCAUUACUCAAUGCUCACCGUGAUAAAUGUAGUUGCCAUUGGGGCGCCUCUCCCCCUCUUCCCUGGCUCACGCUCUCUCCUCUCUCUCAAAAAAAUAAAAUAGGUAAUAAAUAAAUUUUUUAAAAUGUCCCAAAUAGGCAAAUCCAUAGAAACAAAAAGUACAUUAGUGAUGGUCAGAGAAUGGGGAUGAGGGGGAAGAGACUGGUUGCUAAAGAUGUGAGGUUUCUUUUUGGGGUGAUGAAAAUGUUCUGGAAUUAGUACUGAUGGCUGCACGAAUCUUUGAGUAUACUAAAAACCACUGAAUUGUGCAUUGUUUUUUAAAAAAUGUUUAUUUAUUUUUGAGAGAGAGCGAGCAUGAGUGGGGGAGGGUCAGAGAGAGAGGGGGAGACAGUGGGUCCAAAGCAAUUUCUGUGCUGUGACCGCAGCAAGCCCGAUGCGGGGCUUGAACCCAGAACCUUGAGAUCAUGACCUGAGCCAAAGUCAACUGACUGAACCACCCAGGCGCCCCCUGAAUUGUGCACGUUAAAGAGUGAAUUUUAUGGUAAGCGACUCACAUCUUAAAACUUGUUAUAAAUAAUAUAUGUUUUUGCCUACUGUGUGCCAAGCACUGUGCCUGGCGCUGGGAUUGCAAAAAUGAGCAAAGCUAGACAGAUCUCCUACUUACACGUAGUGUAUGUCAUGUUAAAUACUGCAUCACACAAAAGAUCUUGGAAGAUCUUCAAAGGGAGGGCAAUCCUGAUUCGUAACACAACACUUCUCAGUUUUUCUGCCUUGUAGCAUUGUUGUUAUGACGAAACAAGGCUUCAAAUCUCCUUUCUCAAUGAAAGGAAGUAAAGGUGAUGCCUGCCCCCUACACCGUACCGUGAGGGUAACUAACAAGGGAAGAGAGCCCUUGAGUAUAGAAUGGAAAAGAUGAAAACAUCACGUUACAAACAUGUUUGAUUUUUUUCUGCUUUUUAUUUUAUUUUGGGAAAUUUCAAAAGAGAGAAUGAAGGAAGGAGGGAAAGUUUUUACUUGUGAAAUCUGCAUAUAGGAAAAUGCAAAAAACAUGUAUAGCUUAACAAAGAAUUAUGAAUAGUCAAUAAUAUUGUAAUAAUGUUGUCUAGGGACAGAUGGUGACUAAUUGUUUUUUUUUAGUAGGCUCCACGCCCAACAUGGGGCUGGAACUCUUGUCCCUGAGAUCAAGAGUGGCAUGCUUUGCUGACUGAGCCAGCCAGGUGCCCUUGUUUAUUUGUUUGUUUGUUUAAAAUAAAUUUUAAAAAUUAAAAAAAAUUUUUUCAGGUAACUCCACAUGCAAAGUGGGGCUCAAACUCAGAAACCUGAGAUUGAGUCACACACUCCCUUGACUGAGCCAGCUCCUGGUAUUGUCUGUCUUUUUGACUUUAGCCAUCCUAGUGGGUGUUAAAUGGUAUCUCAUCAUUUGACUUUUAUUCAUGACUAUAAUAAUGUUGAACUCAGUAGAUAUUUGUUAAAUGCAGGGAUAAUCAUGGAAAUUUCCAGUUUAAGUAGCUGCAUCAAAUUUUUACACUGGUUUUUAAAAUUAGUACUUGAAUUGUUUUCUUGUUACAAAAGUAGUACAUGCUGAAAUGACUAUCGAAAUAGUGGUUACCUUUGUGGGGAGGGAGGGAGAAAGUUAUGAUCAGGGAAGAGGAACAUGGGGUUAUCCAGGUGAUGGCAAUCUUAUUCUUGAUGUCGGUCUUAGUUGCACAGAUUAUAUUUAUAAUUAUUAUUUAAACUGUAUACAAAAAUAUAUAUGCACUUUUCUGAAUAUAUGUCACAAUAAAAAAAUGUUCUCAGUGUUGAAAA